rnacentral:lncRNA from 1 species
UUAUCUUUUUUUUUCUCCAUAAGUGUUGAACACUUCACCACACCUAAUGCCAAGUGACUUGGUAGCGCAAAGCUCCAUCUGUUCCAUGCCUGUUCUCUAACUAGCUUCCCAAGAGCAAUGUUCAGCAAGCCUAGAAGACUCACAGCAGCACUUGCUCAUUUAACCAAUGCAUGUGCUUUGACUCUUCUGCUAUACCUUAAAGUCUCAAACGGUUCUGUUUGUCUUCCACUCUCAACUUCACUCCAACCUCACAGCAACUGGCAUUCUUAUUAAAGCAAAAUGGCACCACAAUACCUCUCAGCACUCCACUUCAGCUUAGACAUUAUUUUGCAAGAAUACAAUAGCUCCCCCCAACUAACUAGCAUCUUUGUGAGAAAUGCAGCCUCUAGCUCCAACACCGCUCAACCAUCUCAAAGUCCCAACCUCAAGCAUGCACCCGUAAACUUUGUCUGAUUAUGCCGAUUCAGAUUUAUGAACAAAUAUUUUUUAUGAAAGAUAGAAUACUCAAAAAAAAGAUCGCUUAAAGGAAAAGUUGGCAUCCUAUGGAACCUAGGAAGCCAGUACAACUCAUGGAAAAAUAAGCAAGCCACAAUCAAGGCACCGAAAGUGAACAACCAAACAUCAAUAAAAUCUCAAGAGAAAGCAAAGAAACAAAUGGCUGACCAACAACAGACCAAGCCCCAAAAAGUAUACACCCACUAGCUUAGUGACAGUCACUAACAUAAUGCUCUGUCCCAAGUCAAUUCAGCACCCAAUCAACAACCAACAUUAAGCAUGGCGCUAAAAUAGGAACCAAAAUGCAAGCUGUCCAAUAGUUUAAACCUCCAUAAAGCCCAACAUAGGAAGACUUCUUAUCGUGAUAUAUUAGAUAUCCAGACACUAGAGCUUGAUUGUUUGGCACUUCAAAUGUUAAGAAUCCAGGCACCAUUACUUGCAAAAGUGUGUCCUUCCAACAGUAAACUCUGAAAAGUAUCAGGCACUUGGCACAAAUGCAAGCUCCCAUGGUUGUUCACUUGCAAAAGUGUGUCCUUCAAACAGUAAACUCUGAAAAGUAUCAGGCACUUGGCACAAAAUGCAAGCUCCCAGUCUUAUCCAGGCACUUGGCACAAAUGCAAGCUGUCCAACACUUUAAACCUCCAUAAAGCCCAACAUGGGAAGACUUCUUAUCGUGAUAAAUUAGAUAUCCAGACACAAGGGCUUGAUUGUUUGGCACUUCAAAUGUUAAGAAUCCAGGCACCAUUACUUGCAAAAGUGUGUCCUUCAAACAGUAAACUCUGAAAAGUAUCAGAACGUCAAGCCAACUUAAGCAGGACGUUCCAAUUUCAGGGUGCCAAGGAGCAUCUUGUUGUGUCUCGUCAUAUCCAAAUGUCUACAAUUGUGAGCACCUCAGAAUCCUAAAAACUGAAUUACUCAGAAACUUAGUUAUAACAAAUCAUCAAAAGGCGUAAAUCAUAAACCAUCCUUGUUUAGACCUAGACCAACAGAAAAUUACCAACUAAUCAGCACACCUAACAAUGAACCAAUCAAGCCAAAAAGAAAACCAAGAUGUUGAUCUACUAAUAGCACCAAUAAGUCCACUCACAAUAACAUCCAAGAUGAGUUCCCAUUAGCAAAAAUAUCGAAAUAAGAACUGAUCGAACCUAACAAAAGUGGCUUGUUGAUAGAACUCAUCUAGGAUUUAAAAUAUCUAAGUAGUCCUACUAUAUAUGGUCCAUGAAAGAAGGUAGGUCAGCAUAACACACACACACACACACACACAACAAAAAGAAAAAAGAAAAAAGGCCAAAUUGACAUGACGGACAAUUAGAAGAU